AGCGAACGCUGGCGGCAGGCUUAACACAUGCAAGUCGAACGGGCGUAGCAAUACGUCAGUGGCAGACGGGUGAGUAACGCGUGGGAACGUACCUUUUGGUUCGGAACAACACAGGGAAACUUGUGCUAAUACCGGAUAAGCCCUUACGGGGAAAGAUUUAUCGCCGAAAGAUCGGCCCGCGUCUGAUUAGCUAGUUGGUGAGGUAAUGGCUCACCAAGGCGACGAUCAGUAGCUGGUCUGAGAGGAUGAUCAGCCACACUGGGACUGAGACACGGCCCAGACUCCUACGGGAGGCAGCAGUGGGGAAUAUUCGACAAUGGGGGCAACCCUGAUCCAGCCAUGCCGCGUGAGUGAUGAAGGCCCUAGGGUUGUAAAGCUCUUUUGUGCGGGAAGAUAAUGACGGUACCGCAAGAAUAAGCCCCGGCUAACUUCGUG
rnacentral:rRNA from 1 species